CCGAGGCAGGCCGGGACCCGUGACGGGGAGACGCGCUCGCCCAGGAAGUCUACUGAGGGGGUCUUGUGUGAAUUAUCUCUUUAAUGAAAAAGAAAGAAGGUGUUAACUUCAAAAAUACCUUCUUUAAUGAAGUGUUAGGCGUGGACAUCAUUUUUCAAGAACACCAAUAUGCUGCUGUUUUAAUACAUUCCUUUCUCUUCUACUUGACAACUUAUUAAUGAGAAGCAAGUGUUUAUAGCUUGAGAAUAACUCACCUGAAAGCAAGCAGGAGCUGAGAGGACAUGGCCAGACCAUGUGGCUCCAAAAAUGCUGAUCUUCCUACAGGAGCUGCAGAGAGGGG